rnacentral:rRNA from 1 species
GGGAACGUGCCCUUCGGUUCGGAAUAACUCAGGGAAACUUGAGCUAAUACCGGAUACGCCCUUUUGGGGAAAGGUUUACUGCCGAAGGAUCGGCCCGCGUCUGAUUAGCUUGUUGGUGGGGUAACGGCCUACCAAGGCGACGAUCAGUAGCUGGUCUGAGAGGAUGAUCGGCCACACUGGGACUGAGACACGGCCCAGACUCCUACGGGAGGCAGCAGUGGGGAAUAUUGGACAAUGGGCGCAAGCCUGAUCCAGCCAUGCCGCGUGAGUGAUGAAGGCCUUAGGGUUGUAAAGCUCUUUUGUCCGGGACGAUAAUGACGGUACCGGGAGAAUAAGCCCCGGCUAACUUCGUGCCAGCAGCCGCGGUAAUACGAAGGGGGCUAGCGUUGCUCGGAAUCACUGGGCGUAAAGGGCGCGUAGGCGGCCGAUUAAGUCGGGGGUGAAAGCCUGUGGCUCAACCACAGAAUUGCCUUCGAUACUGGUUGGCUUGAGACCGGAAGAGGACAGCGGAACUGCGAGU